GGAGGGUGCGAGCGUUAAUCGGAAUUACUGGGCGUAAAGCGUGCGUAGGCGGUUGAAUAAGUCGGAUGUGAAAGCCCCGGGCUUAACCUGGGAAUUGCAUUCGAUACUGUUCAGCUAGAGUGUGGAAGAGGGAAGUGGAAUUCCAGGUGUAGCGGUGAAAUGCGUAGAUAUCUGGAGGAACAUCAGUGGCGAAGGCGACUUCCUGGUCCAACACUGACGCUGAGGCACGAAAGCGUGGGGAGCAAACAGGAUUAGAUACCCUGGUAGUCCACGCCGUAAACGAUGAGAACUAGCCGUUGGAUUCAUUCUGGAAUUCAGUGGCGCAGCUAACGCGUUAAGUUCUCCGCCUGGGGAGUACGGCCGCAAGGUUG
rnacentral:rRNA from 1 species